UACGGAGGGUGCGAGCGUUGUCCGGAAUCAUUGGGCGUAAAGGGCGCGUAGGUGGCCCAGUCAGCGUGCGGUGAAAGCUCGGGGCUCAACCCCGAGUCGGCCGUGCGAACUACUGGGCUGGAGCACUGUAGAGGCAGGCGGAAUUCCGGGUGUAGCGGUGGAAUGCGUAGAGAUCCGGAAGAACACCGGUGGCGAAGGCGGCCUGCUGGGCAGUAGCUGACGCUGAUGCGCGACAGCGUGGGGAGCAAACAGG
rnacentral:rRNA from 1 species